AGGACUAACGCUGGCGGCGUGCCUAACACAUGCAAGUCGAGCGGGGUAGCAAUACCCAGCGGCAGACGGGUGAGUAACGCGUGGUCAACCUUCCGUUGAAUGGGGGAUAACUAGCCGAAAGGUUAGCUAAUACCGCAUACGAUCUUUUGAAGGCAUCUUUAAAAGAUGAAAGGAGCAAUUCGUUCAACGACGGGACCGCGUCCCAUUAGCUAGAUGGUGGGGUAAUGGCCUACCAUGGCAACGAUGGGUAGCUGGUUUGAGAGAGCGACCAGCCACACUGGGACUGAGAAACGGCCCAGACUCCUACGGGAGGCAGCAGUGAGGAAUUUUCCGCAAUGGGCGAAAGCCUGACGGAGCGACGCCGCGUGUGGGAAGAAGGCCUUCGGGUCGUAAACCACUGUCGAAGGGGACGAUAAUGACGGUACCCUUGGAGGAAGCCCGGCUAACUACGCGCCAGCAGCAGC
rnacentral:rRNA from 1 species